rnacentral:lncRNA from 1 species
UAUGCUUGUUUUGCUUUUCCUUAAGAUUGGAGUAUUUGCCUUUGCUUAGAUUUUACAUCUCUUGAAUAAUAUCCAUUUUCUUUUCUUUAUCUCUCUCUCUUUUUGUUAUUCUCAAGUAAUUUACAUGAAAGAGCAAAAUAAAGAAAUAAUCUUAUGUAUCAUAUAGAUGUAUAUCAUGCAAACAACAUUUUUAUUGUACUCAAGGAUUCAUAAUUUCUCACAAGUUAUUUUAAAUCAAAAUUUUAAGCAUAAACUUGUGUAUUUCAUGGUUAUGACAUAGGCAAAGAUAUAUUAUAGUUUGGGCAAAUCAUGAAACAAUUUCUAAAAGUAUAAGUCAAUCAAUAUAUAUAUAUAGACAUGAUAUCAAAAAUUAAUAAUUAAAGAUCUUAAUCAUGCCAUAAUAAGAUUUAAGUUAUUGACUUUGCUCAAUUAAUUUAUGAGAGAGGUAUCUAGAAUUACCAAUUCAUUCUGCAUUCUUCAGUCAAAUACCUACUAGAUUUCUUAUGUAUGAACUUUUGGCUGAAGAAGGUCCUCUCUCUUGUUUGCAUGUGAAUAUUUAUUUUAUCUUAUAUGGAGAUAUCCUUCAAGUAGAAAUCUCUCAUUUUCUUGCUCAAAGAUCCUGCAUUAUUAACAAACUCCUUUUCUUUCUUGAAAGAAAGUCAUUAGUUUCUUCAAGAUACAAAACAUUCAUAUAGCAUAUUUCUUAACUGGGUGACUCAAUCAUAAGAUAUGACAAC